rnacentral:lncRNA from 1 species
UGGCCCGAAUUCACAAAGGUGGAUUCUGCAAAAUCCACGGAUUAAUCCACGGAUUUUGUUGAGUCCACAGUCCACGGAUUCGCUUUUGUGAUUCACAAAGGUGGACUCGACCGAAUCCACGGAUUCUACCAAGUCCAUUACGUCACGAUUUCGAGUCAACUGUUUGGGGUGGUCUGAAACAGUGGACUCCACAGAAUCCGUGGAUUCUAGGCGUAAUUGGCCAAUCACAGCGCAGCAUUUGGGUACAUCUUGUGCAUGUAGCAGACAACAACCGCUGGACGAUAAUUUUGCAGCAAAAUUUAAGGUGGAAGACUGGACGUGAAAGUGGUGGAAAAAAUACAUGCUGGACCGAGCUCCGAGAAAAUUAACAAAAAAUGGCAGAAAAUCACCGUGCUCAUUUAAUGCAUCUUGAUCGUGUCAACAGCCUCAGAGAGAUAGCCAACAGGCCCAGACCCUGACGGGAUUACAGAAAUGAAUGAAUCCUUUUGAGUUGUACAUGGAUGAAGCCUUUCGAAUGCGGUAUCGCUUCUCAAAAGAGACUGCACUCCAUCUCAUCAACACGCUUGAGGGUGAUCUGAGGAGGAAUACAGAAUGUAGUGAACCUCUACCUGUUGUCAUAGGUGUCAUCGAUGGGACUCGUGUCUACAUUAGGAGUCCUGGUGGGGAACAAGCCCUGUACUUCCUUAAUCGGAAGAACAGGUAUUCCGUCAGUGUGCAGAUUGCAUUUUUAAUAUAAAUGUAGACUCUGUUAUGCCAGUCUGAACUUUUGGGAAAGGGUCGAUAAUGUGACUUGUACUCCUAUCAUCAUUCCAAUGUCACUAAAGUAUAAUAGCGGUCAUUGACUAUUUUUAAGCAUUGAAAUUUAGAUUGUUUUAUUUAGCACCCUCUCUUUGUAAUGUACUGUACAGUACUUAUUUGUCCUUUAAAUAUGCUCUUGAGCAUUUUCCUUACAAAUUCAUUUAUCUUGAUAUUAGACGCUACAGACUAAGAAUUUAAGUGAGUCUUUCGAUAAUUGUGUUUGAUAUAUCAACAUAUA